rnacentral:snRNA from 1 species
AUUGCUUUCCAGCCUUUGACCUAAGAUGAAGUGAGAGUGGCUGUUCUUACCAGUUUAAUAUCUGAUAUGACAGGGAGGUAAAAUGAGAGCUUGCCUCAUUCACUUGGUGCAUGGGCCUGGUAUUACGGUAUCUCCAGGAAUGGUACAGUCCGG